ensembl:lncRNA
CCCAGCUCCCCAGCUUUACCAGGGAGCUUGCCCUCUAGGACAAGUGCCUUGCACAGCUGAGGGUGGUCAGAGUAUUUAAAACCUGGAGGAAGCACCUCCUUCUUACUGCAGAAAGUUGUGUGGGAAAGAGAGAUUGCUCUCUUAGAAGAGGGAAGUCAGCAAGAGAUUGUAUGGCAAUGGAGAUGUUUUACCUGGAUACACUAGCUAACAGAACGAGAACCAACUUCCUGCAUCUGGCUAACAUUCCUGCAGUGCUGCCUAAAGGUGUUCCUGUUGCCCUGCUCACUUCUGCCUCCAUGUCACGCCAUGAUGAUCCACUGGCUGUACCAUCAACGCUGUUUUGUGGACUCGUGCUGUAGAAAAAUCAGUGGAGAUAGCCUGUAGUUGGAUUUUCUCUGUGCUCUGCUUCAGGCCAACCCAUGUGCUGGCAACAUGGUGAAAAGACAGAGCAAUGAAGUCGGGAGCUAAGAUGUCACUGUCUCUGAAGAGGUGCGUGAGGAAUGAAAGGUUAUGUCAGAGGUGACAGUAAAGGUACAGGGGAGUUACUGCCCCCUGUUGCCUAGUUGCGUGAAGAAUGCUCAGCUCCACCCUGUAGCUGCUGUUUGUUGAUGAGAUUUCUUGCCCACAGUAUCAGCUGGCCAGAAGUAUUCAGAGAUGAGGAAGGAAAGGCUAGAAACAGCUGGCUCUCUCUGUCAUUAACUCUGCUCUUCAGUAGUGCUGCUUUAUAAACUCCUAACCUACUGUGAUAUUGUCUUGUAAUAUUUUUUAUGGUUUCUUUGCUUUUGAGCUUUUGACUUUCUGUGAGCAGUUGUCCUGUUACACAGCGACAGAAGUGUUUUCUGUGGAGAUUGGGGGGGCUUCUUCCAGUCUAAAGCUGCGUUAUUGUCAAAGGUGAAGAAAUGCGAUUAUGUGAAAGAAAGAUCAGUGCCUUACUGGAUGUGAAGCAAUAGAGUGGGAGAAGGGCAAGAAAUGCUUUCAAACUCAAGUUUCUCAGGAUCAUAAAUCAAUUUAACAUAUUAUUUUCCAUAAGGCUUUUUAGGUUAACUUUUUGCUUCACUCCAAAUAAAUUUUGCAUGGUAAGGGUGGAAAACA